rnacentral:rRNA from 1 species
UACGUAGGGGGCGAGCGUUGUCCGGAUUUAUUGGGCGUAAAGAGCGUGUAGGCGGCCAGGUAGGUCUGCUGUGAAAACUCGAGGCUCAACCUCGAGACGUCGGCGGAAACCAUCUGGCUAGAGUCCGGAAGAGGAGAGUGGAAUUCCUGGUGUAGCGGUGAAAUUCGUAGAUAUUAGGAAGAACACCAGUGGCGAAGGCGGCUCACUGGCUCGGUACUGACGCUGAGGCGCGAAAGCGUGGGGAGCAAACAGG